AAGUCGUAACAAGGUUUCCGUAGGUGAACCUGCGGAAGGAUCAUUAUAAAAUGUUCAAACACAAACUGAUCGUGGCUGGUGAGUGUGUCCUUGGUGGUCGUAAGGCUGCCGGGCGCCAUCCGGUCCGGUCAACCAACAACUUGUGAACUGUCUAUGACCUCGAUUUCUUGCUUCGCCCUGUACAACAGGCGUGUGAGCGACGGCCUGACUCGCAGUGUGGUAGAACUGUGGUUCUCCGCGCUGUGACGAAAGUGCAGGCGCUUACGCGUACUGGAGUCGGGGCAAUGGAGCAUUUACAAACAAACCAGUCUGAAAUUGUCUAACAUUGUGUCUUACACACACAGAAUAUAUAUAAUAUAUACAACUUUUAACAAUGGAUCUCUUGGCUCCU
rnacentral:misc_RNA from 1 species